rnacentral:lncRNA from 1 species
UAGGAGAUCUCCCCAGAAGCUGGGGUGAGGGGUACAGAAGAGGAUGGCUGCUGGGUAUGCAACCUAGAGUCAGUCAGUCAGUCACAAACAUGGCAGGAAAAUAAGCUGUCUAACCAGAGGAAAUGGCAUCUUCACCCCUUUUUUAUUGUUGAAAGAGCCUGGAAACUAGCAAGAGUUCAAGACCAAGAGAAAGCUGUGGGCACUUGGAUAAGUCUAAAAAUCCUCAGAGUCCAGAUAAGCAAGAUUUGACAAGAGUUUCCAUGGAGACAGAACAUAACUUAUUACUGGCCUAUAAACUAGAUAAUUUGACCAGCGAUCUGCAGACAGGACUGUUGCUUCUUUCCUCAACUUUGCUCCAGGCCAUAAUGAUGAAAGCAAAAACACUUGUAUCUGUGUUUCUAACAGCUUUGAGGAGAGAGGCUGCUCAAGAGAGAAAUCAACCUAUGGAAAUUAUAUACAUAUUUUCUUUCCUCUUUUGGAGGUGAGAAACAGGAAAGAAACUUGUUGAAAGCAGAGAUUAGAUCUAGCUAGAGAUGAAUCCCAGGCUUUUAGUCUAAUGCCUGUAUUAUUUCCUUAAAUUUGUUCUGAGGGUUUCUUUUACUUUGGAUAUAAUAAAGAGUGUUUCCACUGGA